rnacentral:misc_RNA from 1 species
AAGUCGUAACAAGGUUUCCGUAGGUGAACCUGCGGAAGGAUCAUUAACACGUAUCCACGUAUCAACCAAUGAGAACCUGUUUUCCCGUCUCCCUGUGCAAAGAAUGAAUUGGAACCAGUUUGAGGGAGUGAUGGGACCGAAAGGUCGGCCUUCCUGGUAUACUUAUGUAAAUAGAAAUGUUUGCAUAGACAAUUGUAUUUUUGUUACAGGCUAUUUCUUAUCGCUUUGAUCCCCAUCAUGAUCGUGGCGGUAGGGAAACUUUCACUAUAUUUACCUUUUUUGCUAGUUGACUUUUUAUAUGUGUUGUCUUGCGAAAGCAUGGUGGCACACGUUUAUUAAUUGAACGUUAAAAAUACAACUCUUAGCAAUGGAUAUCUUGGUUCUC